rnacentral:rRNA from 1 species
UACGUAGGGGGCUAGCGUUGUCCGGAAUCAUUGGGCGUAAAGCGCGUGUAGGCGGUCCGGUAAGUCCGCUGUGAAAGUCGGGGGCUCAACCCUCGGAUGCCGGUGGAUACUGUCGGGCUAGAGUGCGGGAGAGGCGAGUGGAAUUCCGUGGUGUAGCGGUGAAAUGCGCAGAUAUCAGGAGGAACACCGAUUGCGAAGGCAGCUCGCUGGAACGUUACUGACGCUGAGACGCGAAAGCGUGGGGAGCAAACAGG